rnacentral:rRNA from 1 species
AAACAUAGCCCUAAGAACUGAUUUAGGGUAAAGCCUGCUCAAUGAAUAAAUUUUAAAUAGCCGCGGUACCUUGACCGUGCUAAGGUAGCAUAAUCAGUUGACUUUUAAAUGAAGUCUGGAAUGAAGGGAAUAACGGGAUUAAGCUGUUUCAAUGCUCCUAUUUUGAAGUUACUAAUUAGGUGAAAAGGCCUAAAUAUGAUAAAAGACGAGAAGACCCUUAGAGUUUUAAUAUAUUUUUGUUGGGGCGACAUGAAAUCAAUUAACAUUUCGAAUAGUAUGGGACGGACAUUUCAUGCAUAGAUAAACUACCUGAGGGAUAACAGCAUUAUCCUUUUGGGUUUGUGACCUCGAUGUUGGACUAGGAAGCCUAUAAGCUAGCCGCUUAUAAGGGGGAUUCUGUUCGAAUUUUUUACUCCUACGUGAUCUGA